rnacentral:rRNA from 1 species
UACGUAGGGGGCAAGCGUUGUCCGGAAUCAUUGGGCGUAAAGAGCGUGUAGGCGGCCCGGUAAGUCCGUUGUGAAAGUCCAGGGCUCAACCCUGGAAAGCCGAUGGAUACUGCCGGGCUAGAGUUCGGAAGAGGCGAGUGGAAUUCCUGGUGUAGCGGUGGAAUGCGCAGAUAUCAGGAGGAACACCUAUAGCGAAGGCAGCUCGCUGGGACGACACUGACGCUGAGACGCGAAAGCGUGGGGG